rnacentral:rRNA from 1 species
UGGGGAAUCUUGCACAAUGGGCGAAAGCCUGAUGCAGCGACGCCGCGUGCGGGAUGAAGGCCUUCGGGUUGUAAACCGCUUUCAGCAGGGACGAGGCGAAAGUGACGGUACCUGCAGAAGAAGCCCCGGCUAACUACGUGCCAGCAGCCGCGGUAAUACGUAGGGGGCAAGCGUUAUCCGGAUUCAUUGGGCGUAAAGCGCUCGUAGGCGGUCUGUUAGGUCGGGAGUUAAAUCCGGGGGCUCAACCCCCGUUCGCUCCCGAUACCGGCAGACUUGAGUUUGGUAGGGGAAGGUGGAAUUCCUAGUGUAGCGGUGGAAUGCGCAGAUAUUAGGAAGAACACCAGUGGCGAAGGCGGCCUUCUGGGCCAUAACUGACGCUGAGGAGCGAAAGCUAGGGGAGCAAACAGGAUUAGAUACCCUGGUAGUCCUAGCUGUAAACGAUGAUUACUGGGUGUGGGCAUGAAGAGUGUCCGUGCCGAAGCUAAUGCGAUAAGUAAUCCGCCUGGGGAGUACGGCCGCAAGGCUG